UACGUAGGGUGCAAGGCGUUAAUCGGAAUUACUGGGCGUAAAGCGUGCGCAGGCGGUUGUGCAAGUCAGCUGUGAAAGCCCCGGGCUCAACCUGGGAAUUGCGCUUGUUACUGGCAGGCUUGAGUGUGGCAGGAGGGGGUGGAAUUCCGACGUGUAGCAGUGAAAUGCGUAGAGAAUGUGGAGGAACACCGAUGGCGAAGGCAGCCCCUGGGCUAACACUGACACUCAUGCACGAAAGCGUGGGAGCAAACAGG
rnacentral:rRNA from 1 species